rnacentral:rRNA from 1 species
CUGGUUGAUCCUGCCAGAGGUUACUGCUAUCGAGGUUCGACUAAGCCAUGCGAGUCGAAUGUAGCAAUACAUGGCGUACUGCUCAGUAACACGUGGACAACCUACCCUUGGGACGGGGAUAAACCCGGGAAACUGGGUAUAAUACCCGAUAGAUCUCGGAAGCUGGAAUGCUCCGAGAUCGAAAGCUCCGGUGCCCAAGGAUGGGUCUGCGGCCUAUCAGGUAGUAGUGGGUGUAGCGUACCUACUAGCCUACGACGGGUACGGGUUGUGAGAGCAAGAGCCCGGAGAUGGAUUCUGAGACACGAAUCCAGGCCCUACGGGGUGCAGCAGGCGCGAAAACUUUACAAUGCCGGCAACGGCGAUAAGGGGACCUCGAGUGCCAGGUUACAAAUCUGGCUGUCGUAAUGCCUAAAAAGCAUUUCAUAGCAAGGGCCGGGCAAGACCGGUGCCAGCCGCCGCGGUAACACCGGCGGCUCGAGUGGUAACCGUUAUUAUUGGGUCUAAAGGGUCUGUAGCCGGCCGGAUAAGUCUCUUGAGAAAUCUGGCAGCUUAACUGUCAGGCUAUCAGGGGAUACUGUCUGGCUCGAGGCCGGGAGAGGUGAGAGGUACUUCAGGGGUAGGGGUGAAAUCUUGUAAUCCUUGAAGGACCACCAGUGGCGAAGGCGUCUCACCAGAACGGACCUGACGGCAAGGGACGAAAGCUAGGGGCACGAACCGGAUUAGAUACCCGGGUAGUCCUAGCCGUAAACGAUACUCGCUAGGUGUCGGCCACGGUGCGACCGUGGUCGGUGCCGUAGGGAAGCCGUGAAGCGAGCCACCUGGGAAGUACGGCCGCAAGGCUGAAACUUAAAGGAAUUGGCGGGGGAGCAC